rnacentral:rRNA from 1 species
AAGGCUGAAAUUCGCCUUCAUGAAGCUGGAAUUGCUAGUAAUGGCAGGUCAGCAUACUGCCGUGAAUACGUUCCCGGGCCUUGUACACACCGCCCGUCACACCAUGAGAGUUGGAGAUACCCGAAGCCUGUGAGCUAACAGAAAUGGAGCAGCAGUCGAAGGUAGAAUCAAUGAUUGGGGUGAAGUCGUAACAAGGUAGC